rnacentral:rRNA from 1 species
UACGGGGGGGGCAAGCGUUGUUCGGAAUUACUGGGCGUAAAGGGCUCGUAGGUGGCCAACUAAGUCAGACGUGAAAUCCCUCGGCUUAACCGGGGAACUGCGUCUGAUACUGGAUGGCUUGAGUUCGGGAGAGGGAUGCGGAAUUCCAGGUGUAGCGGUGAAAUGCGUAGAUAUCUGGAGGAACACCGGUGGCGAAGGCGGCAUCCUGGACCGACACUGACGCUGAGACGCGAAAGCAUGGGGAGCAAACAGG